UCAACAACAGAAGUAAAUGCAUUUUCAGA
rnacentral:ncRNA from 2 species